rnacentral:lncRNA from 1 species
GCAAGAUAUGAGGCCAUUAUGGUGAUGCCUACUGGAAAUAAGCUAGAACUGAAAACAGAGUUUGUGUCAGGGUAAGUAUAAGCAGAACAAGUGCAGCGAAAACGGAAAUGAUUGCCCAUGGAGUGUUGAAAUAGUUAUGCCUGAGGUUGGCAAUCCAUCUGUUCCAAUGCCUGUCACAGUAGUCAUUCACAUUGUGGAAUAUGUCUCCGUAAAAGUUGUAAAGGGGCAGCGCGACAGAAUCUCCAAGCCUAUUGAACAUGUUGGCAACCACUUCAUCGUCACCUAAACAAUUAUGAAGAAUUUUGUUCUCACAAAGCAAUUCCACAUCCUUUGCAGUGUUGAUGAGACAGUCCAUGAAUUUCAAAUAAUUGAUGAAAGGAGCAUACGCACAAAAUGGGAAAAACUGCUCAUAAACAGAGAUGUUUCGGAAAAAUGAUUCGGUGUCAUCAUCAAUUGUCAAUGCAGGGAUUUUCAUUAUUCCAGCAUCCUUGUCAAAAUCAAUUGAAAACAAGCUAUCUCCCUCAAUCUUCUCGAACUUGACUCCAGCCUCUUUGAGAUUUGUAGCACUUAUUAUGAAAUUCCAAUUUUCCUCAUAAGGCGGAGGUAGAAAACCAGGAGCCCACUGCCAGUAAUAAUCGUACAUGAAGCCCAGUAAAUGCGUGAUUUUGGGAUCGAACUCUAAAAAUGGUCCAAUUUUUGAGACUUUCAAAAGUUGGACAGGAAGUACUUCACUGAAGAAACCCAAAAUCAAGUCCUUGAAAUUUGUUUCUUCAUCCUCAUGCAUCUUAGUAAUGUCGUAAAAUUCCUGGAGAACAAACAAAGGAAGCUGAUUGUCGGCUACCAACAAAUCACGACCCAGUUUCUUGCGGAUCCAACUUGUCCUGAGAACAUUGUUAUCAUCGUCCCACAGAUCUAGCUUGAACCUGCGAAAUAGCUCAACAAUAAAGCAAGCAUCAAGGACCAACAUUUCCACAAAUUCACGUCCGGAGAUUUCUAUAGGCUCUGCAUAACAACAACGAGCUCUUUCUUCUAAUAAGCCCAUGCGCUCGCAACAACAUGAUAAUAAGUCUCCACAAAAUUCCCUGCUUCGCUCGAGAAGGUUUUGCAGAUAGAGAACUUUGUGCCUUUCCAUCUCUGCUAAGUGAGUUUUCUCGCGAGCAAGGUGGUGGUUUAAAGGACCGAUUGCUAUUAUUUGUGGUUCAUAGGCUUUUACAUUCUCAGUACGCAGAUGCUCCGGUACUCUUCUUAUUUUAAAACCAGCUGAGGAAUCUUUUGAUACUCCAUCAAGUCGCGCCCUCAAAUAGUGUAGCGCAGUCCAAUGACUCAUGCUGAAAUUAACAAGGCUAAAAUCAUAAAAAAAAAAAAAAAAAGGAAAGUCGUGUGUUUUGAAAAAUUAAACCAGAUUUUGUUCUAAUGAACUAAUGUGAUCCUCAAGCUCCAAGUAGUUUUUGAGCAAUUUUAUUUAAUUGCUUAUCACUUUAGGAGAUGUAAGGGAUUAUAAAUUGAUUUAAACUUUGUUCAUCCCUCUAUUUUCUAAGAAUAAAAAAUAAAUACUGAUAAAAAAAAGAAACUAAUGCCCUACUCUUGGAAUUACAGACCAUAACAUACCCCAGCCCAAUCAAGCAUCUUUCCCCUCUGAGACUGGGGCAACGAGAAUCAAUUACUUGAUCUUUUACUCGCCUUGCAAUCGCCAAACCAACUUGACUAUUUUCUUUUAUUUAUAUAUAUAGUUUGUAUAAUUAAUUGCUCGUUAAUUAAUUAAGUUACUAUUAGCUAGGGGGAAAAAAAAGAAAAAGAAGAAAACUACAUAUUGAACUCAAAUAAAUCAUCCUAAAAUAUUCGACCUUAAUUUUCUUUUUAAUACUAUUUACACGUGACAACAGCAUAAAAUGAGAAGCUCUAACUAUGCUCCAUAUUAGAUGGAAAGGCAAUGAGAUGGCCAAGGAUACUAAAAAAUCACUAGAACUUAAAAGUCGUGUAAUCAACAAAAGGAGCGCAAAGCUGAAUCUAUAUCUUUUUAUUUUAGUUUAUUUUUGAAGGAAGAUGGCAUCCGUCGGAUCAAUAAAGAUAUAAUAAAAAUUAACGAGAAUUCAGAUAUAAGUUUACCCAAAUUUCAAAUCAGAGACGAAGUAUGUCAGUAUUGAUUGCUAGGAUAAGAGCAAUGUUUAACAAAAAGAAGUAGUGAAACUUACUUGUUAAAGAUGAAGUAUUACUCUCUGACUGAUCAACUGAAUCUAUCUUCUUUGCAGCGCUAAUUAGUCGAUAGUCUCUUUUUGUUGAAUCUAUCUUCUCUGCAGUGCUAAUUAUUUGACUUAGGUUAGGUGAAGUAAGUCACCAUUAUAUGCAAGGUCUUGAUAGACUUUAAAACGACCCAGUCUUUGUUUAAUGAUUUAGGUUAAGUGAAUAAGUCACCAUCAUAUGUCUCGUUACAGCUGUGUGAAUGAAUCAUUGAUGGUUCUUUAGUUCCAGCUGCACGCGGCUAAGUUUUUUUUUGGGGGGGGGGGGCACUGGGCAGUGAUGGAUGAUUUAGCAUAAGAUUUUUCAUUAGGCCCUUCAGAAAUUCAAUCCAAUUUAGUCAAUCGCCUUCUUUUUUAAAAAAUAAAAUUUUUAAAAUAUUUUAUUUUAAAAAAUAAAUAAAAAAAGUUAUCUUGAUUAUGUAGAUAAGGCCGUGUUACAUUAAAAAAAUAACAUAUCUGAAAUUUUUUUAUUUUUCCAAGCUUUCAAAAAAUAAUAAAGAAAAAAAGAAAUUGAUGAAAAAAUUAAGGAGGAAGUUGCAGUCGCCAGGUGUAAAAGAAUAAAAAAAAAACCUUGGAGAGAGGAAGAGAGUGAGGAUAUUAAUGUAAAUUUACUUAGCAUAAAAAUAAUAAUAUUAAAAUAAAAUUACAGGUUAUCAAAUAUUUUAUAUUGAUUUAAAAUUACACAGAAAUCAAAAUAAUGAUACACGUGGUGAGAGAAGAAUCUAGCUACUGUCGUUAGCACUACUUUAUUAUUAAAGUAUAUUUUCUCCAAUGUGUUCGUUGACUUGGUGAAGGAUUUCACAACACAAAUACUUUUUUUUUUUUAUAGGUCAGUAGGUAUAAAUCACGUGGUAUAAAGAGAACAAUCAAAUAAAAGCAUUAAGACCCAUAGAAUUGUUUUAUUUAUAUUUAUUUUUUUGUUGUCUCACACACACUUAACUCACGGGGAAAAAAAACAGGGAAAAAGAACAAGGAGAAAAACAUCAAUUCCGAUGUAACGUGUUUUGUCUAAUAGUGGAUCGGAGUCUGUAUUUUCCACCCUCUUAUUUUUAUAAAUCCAUCCCAUUUUUAAGGAAUAAUUACAACGAGUUCAUAAUAUUUUAAUAAACACAAAUUAAUAAAAAUUUUAUAUAAUUAAUUAAUUAAUUAAUUCUUUCAUUAAUUUUUUCUUAAGAAUCUUUAACUAUCUUUAAUGAUAAAUUUUAAUAUAAGUUUUAUUUUAUUUGCCCUAAUAAAUAUGAGUUAUUGUAUCUAAUAAUUUAGGUAUUUAAUUUUGUAACUUAGAAUAUAAUAUUUUAAAAUGAAAUCUAAUUAUUCUUUUCACUACCCUUACACGUAAAUGACGUAAAUUUGAUAGCCUAAUAAUUUACAUGAGCAUUGUGAUAUAAAGACACAAUGUUAGUUUAAUUAAAGAUUAAUAAUUAUUCUAAUAAAGUAGGAUUAGAAACAAUGAGUUUAGUAUAAAAUUAAAAAACAUUGAAGUUAAAGUAAAUUAUUGGUAGUUUUACCUUAUAAGGGUAAAAUAGUCAAUUCAAACUUAUGCCAAAGCAAUCUUUGUAAUCAAGUAUAAAAAAAAAAUUUAAGUUACAAAAAAAUAAAUUAAGAUAGAUUUAAUUAAUUAAUUCUCCGAAGUUUUCAAUUUAAAAUUUUUUAAAAAUAAUGUGCACUCUGUGCAAUUAUUUUCUAAAAAUGAGGUGAAAUUACAAAAACUAUGGGUUAGAAACAUCGUCACACUUUUCUAUGUUUUAACUUGAACAUCAUUUUAUUUUAUUUUAAAUGAGGGAUCUAGGGGCUCAUAUUAGGGAAAUCUACAAAAAUAGCACAAAAACUUCCUGAUUUUACAAAACAAUUUGUCUACCAAAUUGGCCCCUUUAAAUUUUUCUAUCAUAUAUAGCUAGUCAAAUAUCUAAUUUUUGGAUGAAAAUACCCACCACCCUCAACAAUUCACCAAAACGAUACUAGUCUCAACUAAUCUUCAAAUUUCACCAUUCUCAACAAAUUGAUGUCAGUGUCAUUAUAUAUAUAUUUUUCUAACAUUUUGGGUUCAUACAAUACUAAGUUUGAGUUGACAUAUUAAAAAAACGGUUCAAACAAAUAAAUUUUAAGUAAAAAUGAACUAGAAGACGACACACAAGUGCGACAUGUACAUGUACCACUUAAGCUCGGGCGACAAGGACCUCUGGUCUUAUACCCUGGGAGACGAGUACGUGUAGCACUACUAUGCCACUUUAUCUAUCUCCGCCUAUGAUUUCUCAAUUGGAGAAGCCCCAUGUAUCUAUGAUAAAUCACAUAGUAAAAUGGUUAAUAAUAACAUUUGUAAAAUUACGGUAAUAAUUAAAAGAUUAAAAAAAACCAAAACAUAGCAAUUGUGCUUCUAUACAACUGUGUCUCAGCACAUGCCUAUCGUACCAAAUACCCAUACACACCAUAUUAGUGUGCUAUGUGCCUAUGUCUAAGUGCCAUGGGCCAUCACACCAAAAUAGGUAGACAAAAAAAAAAAAAAAAAAAAUCUUGGAACCGACUCAAUCAGAACAAAAAUCCUUCUAUUCUCAUGUGAGAAUUGAAGAAAUCAUACUUUAUGUUGUAGAUUAGGAAUCCUUAUCCUAUUUAGAUUAGUUAUCUUAUUGUCUAAGAUUUAUUCUUCUUUUUAUAGUAGUUUAGGACUUUGUUUUUCUUUUCUUUGUGGUUUAGGAUAAUUACUAGUAGCAUAAAUAAAUCUUCACUUGUAGUCUUUGAAGCAAUUUGGGUUCAAUAACAUUUUCAGUUUUCAAAUAUCUGUGUGAGUUUUUUAAUUUAGUUAAUUAUCGGCAUUUUGCAGAAUCAAGGAGUCUUAAUUCCUAUAUUCACAGUAUUAUUAUGAAUCAAUAUGAAUUUAAACUAUUUGUUUAUUCCGAUUUUUUAAGAAUCAAUGACAUAUUAGAACAUUAGACUCCCACUACAUCACUUUCAUACAAUACCUUAUUUGAAUUUUCCGUCAGUGCGAUAGACCAAAACAAUGGUUCCUAUGGUGCCUAUCGCACCAAAACACACCCACACACAAAACACCACAAAAUCAUCAUCAUCAUCAUCUCGGUGGUUAGCCACCACCAUCACCAUUCUCAUACCAUGUAACACAACAAUAACACAACACACACCAUACAUAUCAUUUCAAACGCUCAAAUAAUGAAAAAAAAAAUACUCUCACACACAUUUCUUAAACACUUAUGUGCAAUAAUUGACCUUAAACUAUAUUUACAUAUUUACCACAAUUGUUCGUUCUUUUACUAAUGCAAACCUAACAUACUAUUUUUUUCACUAAUACAAAUAGAAUACACUAUUUUUUCACCAAUAAUUUCUAUAAAAUUAGAGCAAUUCAAUUUCACAUCAGCAACAAAUUAGAUUUUACUCGUCAAAACAUGCUAUCAUUGUUAAUUAGAGAAGCUACUAUCAAAUGAAGUGCACAAGAAAUAGAAAGCUGAAGCUGCCUUCGUCCCUGCCGACAUGUCGUCACAGUACUGCUGACAAUCUCAAGACUUUAGGAUUUUGUUCGUUCAUUGCGGGCUGAAGAGAGAUGAGACUGAGUUUUCGAUAAGGGUAAACGUGUUCAAGAAAUUGUAUUUGACUAGUUAUGAUAGAAAAAGUUAGAGGGAUCAAUUUCAAAAAAUUUAAAAAUUUUUGGGCUCGUUAUGUAAAUUUCUCCAGAUGUUAAUGUUCACUAGAGUAAGAGCAAUAAUUAAUGUUGAAAUUAAUAAGGAUAAAAUCAUAACAAAAAAAUGAAAGUCAUGUGUUACGAAAAAUUAAACUAGAUUUUGUCUUAAUAAACUAAUGUGAUCCUCGUCAAGUGGUUUUCGAAUAGAUUUAUUUAAUUUAUCAUUGGAGUUCAAAUCUUGAAGACAUAAGAGAUUAAAAAUUGAUUUGAAUUUUAUCCUAAAAUAUUAAACUCAAAUAAAUCAUCCUAAAAUGUUCGACCUCUUUAAUUUUUUUUUUAAUACUAAUUACAAAACAGCAUAAAAUGAGCAGCUCUAACUAUUCUGACGCAGAGGCAAUGAGAUUUAGUGUAGGUGGCAAGGAUACUCAAAAAUCAAAAAGUCAUGUAAUCAACAAAUGAAGCAUACAUCUGAAUCUAUAUCUUUUUAUAUCAUUUUAUUCUAUAUUUGAAGGAACACGGCAUGCAUAGGAUCAAUACAGACACAAUAAAAUGUUACAAAAAUUCAGAUGUAAGUUUACCCAAAUUCCAAAAUCAGAGAUAAAGUAUCAAUUAAUAUUGGUCGCUAGAAUAAGAGAGCAAAGAAUAACUAUAAAGUAGUGAAACGUGCUUGUUAAGGAUCACCUUUAUUGCUCUCUCACUGAGGUGAUCAAUCUAUCUUCUUUAAUUAAUGAGAAAAAAUCUUUGUUGAAUCUAGCUUCCAAAUUUCUUUAUCGAAUGAGAAAAUUUCGGUAAUGGUUCAUCCUUAUAUAUAUAAUGGUUCAUCCAAAUUUCUUUAUCGACUCACAGUGGGUUUUAAGCUAAUGCGGCAACUGCAGUUACUGCACCUUACUUUUUUUCUUUUUUUUUUGCCCUUUCGUGUUUCCAACUUUGCAUUUGGUUUUGCUUUUACUUUGACUUUUACUUUUGUUGUAACUUUUACUUUUGCUUUUUAUUAUUAUUAUUAUUAUUUUUUUUUUUUUAAAUUUAAUAUAAUAUUAUAUAAUUUUUUAUUUUUACAUUAUAAUUAUUAAUAUAAAUUAAUAAAUAUGUAAUUUAUUAUUCAAUAUUCUUAUAUUAUAUUUUUAUUUUUACAUUAUAAUUUAUUAUAACUAAUAAUAAAUAUUUAAAUAUGAAUAAAUUUCAAUAAUAUUAAUUUAAAAUUAAUAAUAGUAUAAAUAAUAAUAUAAAAUAAUAAUAUAUUAUUUAAUUUAAAUUAAUUAUAAAAAAUUAAUAUAGUACAGUGUAGUACCAAAUAUUGUAGGGUGCGUUUGGCACACUGUAUUAUAUUAUGCUAUAUAGAUGUGUUUGGUGCAUGGUAUUGUGGUGUAUUAAAAUAAUGUUCAUAUUAAAUUAAGAGAUAUUAUCAUUUUCCCACCUAAGGUAUUCUGACAUAUCAUGUCAGUACCACGGUUUGGUAAAACUAUCAAUUUACCACCAAACGUUUAAACUUUUAGCAUUUUCCCACCAUUCCGUUAAAACUCAGUUAAUAUGUAACGGAAAAUUUCUAAAAGGUCAAUUUUACCCCUGGAGUAUAAAAAACCAUGUAAUUAACCUUUUAUGAAUUUUGUAAUUAAAUCAUCAUUUGUUGUUCUUCAUUCUUAAAGGACAAAAAUUACCAUUUAUGAAUUUUGUAAAAUUGACCGUGUGGUAUUAGGUACUUCAUAAAUUGAUUUAAUUUAUUUAAUUUUUAAAGGGCAAAUUUAUUUAUUUAAUUUUUUGUGUAAAAUUACUAUCAUCAUAUCAAAGAUUAAAUUGCUUCUUUUGCACAUUCUUUUUUUUUUCCCUUUCAUAAAUUGAUGUUUAGUAGUAGAAUAAAUUGUCUUUAGCUCGGCAAUUUAAUAAAUAAAUUUGACCUUUAAAAAUUAAAUAAAUUAAAUCAAUUUAUAAAAGUACCUAGCACCACACGGUCAAUUUUAUAAAAUUUAUAAAGGGUAAUUUUUGUCCUUUAAGAAGGAAGAACAACAAAUGAUUAUUUAAUUACAAAAUUCAUAAAAGGUUAAUUACAUGGUCUUUUACACUUCAGGGGUAAAAUUGACCUUUUAUGAAUUUUCUGUUACAUAUUAACGGAGUUUUAACGGAAUGGUGGGAAAAUGCUAACAGUUUAAACGUUUGGUGGUAAAUUGAUAGUUUUACCAAACCGUGGUACUGACAUGAUGUGUCAGAAUACCUUAGGUGGGAAAAUGAUAAUAUCCCUUAAAUUAAUGCUAGUAUCAUGUUGGGAAGAACAUGGGAAUAGGUUAAAGGAACUGUGCUAAUGCGGCAACAACCGAAUUAGCUUGUGGUUUUUUUUUUCUUUUCCUUCUUUUUGCUUUUCCUUUUUCCUUUUUGCUUUUGCUUUAUAAUAAUAAUAAUAAUAAAAAUAAAAAUAAAUAAUAUAACUUUUUACAAUUCAUGCUGUAAAAGGUAGAAGAAGAGAAAGGUGAUGUCAAAGUGUUUAGAGAUAUUUUAUCAUUUAUUUUUUUUAUAUUUUUUUAUAUAUUUUUUUAAAAGGUUGCUCAGUAGGCAAGAUUAAAUUAAUUUUUUAACCUUUAUCUACCUAAGCUGCUAAUUAAAUAGAAUUAUUUAAAAAUCACACAAUCAGACAUUUCUUUGAGAAAAUUAUUUAAAUAUUGAAUCCACAACAAUACUAAUCAUCAACUUCCGUACACACAUUCUCGUCGUACAAUUUUAAUUAUACAAAAAUGGAAUAUCAUAUCACACAUCACACAUAAUUUAUAUUGAUAUAUGUUAGAAAAUAGGAUAAUUCGAAAGGCAAAAGGCAAUUCAACAACUAUGUUAGGUAAAAGCAUCACUACUACUGAUCACUAGAAUAUAUAAAAGCAAUGUGUAACCUUCUCUGCAAUGCUAGCUAGCUUCUUAAUGAUUUUCUUAUGGAUGAAAACUUCGGAAACCAAUGGUCCGUGCUUUUACGACUGUAUAAAUUGUCUCGUGAUUGGUAUGUGGUAAUUGAAUUAUUGAUUUUUUUUUUUUAUAACUGAAGUUGACCAGGUCAAGCGAGGUUUAUUUCAAAAUAAAAGAGCAAAGAAUUAGUUAAAACCUAAAUUAAAGAAAUUAAAUCCCUUUUUACCUAAGGCUCUAAAUAGGUUUUCCUUCUUACAAGUCUUUUGUUUGACAAUUAUAUUAACUUUUGUUUAACAAAAUCAAUGAUGCCCUGAAAAUGUAGACACAAAAAUCACUUAAACAAACUACUUAAAAAUCACUUAAACAAACUGCUCAAAGUCAAAUAAUAAAAAAUGAAAGCACAAAAUUAAAUAGAUAUAUCUAACAUGCAUAGGAUCAAUAAAUAAUAACCAAAAAUUACAAAAUUCAGAUGUAAAUUUACCCAAAUUUCAAAUCAAAAGAUGAAGUAUCACUAUUGAUCACUAGAAUGAGAGCAAUUUGUAAGUAUGAACUAUGAGCUAGUUGUAAAACUCACUUGUUAAAGGCUGCGUGCCUUUACUCUCUCACUUAAUCUUUUCUUCUUUGCAAUGCUAGCUUUUUAAUUUCCUUAUGGAAUGAAAAUUUCAGCAACCAAUGGUUCAUACUUACAUGACCAGUGGUGAAAAUUUGUUAUUUUUAAAAGGGCAAAGCUUAUGUUACAUUAGCGGUAACAAACAGCCAAUACACAUGGGUGGUUAGAUUUUGAUAUUUUUUAAUCUAAUGGAUGAAAAUAAUUUUAACCUAAAAUGAGGUAUGGGUGUAAUAGCUUUUUAUAAAAGUUUUUAUUUUGAAUCACAUAUUUACUUAUUUUUUCAAAUAAGUCCUCAUUAAUUUUGUAUAACUAAAUGAUUUUGUUAACCAUCUCUUCUAAAUUUAUUCUUUAAAAUUUUAAAAGUUUUACUAUAUUUUUAUAAAGAUCUAAAUAAUUAUCAUAUUCAUAAAGGUUUAUAAAUUCUGAAUAUAUAUUUGCAUAUGCAUUUAUAAUUUCUUCUCUUUCUUGAGAAUAAACUAGAUUUUUUUUUUUUUAUAUAUAUAUAAUCUAAAUUUAGCAUCUUGAAUUAUAAGAGAUAUUAUAUGUCAUAAAUAUAUUAUAACUCUAAUAAAUUACUGGAAAGAUGUUACAAUGUAUAAAUUAUUAGAACCUCUAAUAAUUUUACAAAAUAAAUAAAGUAAUAAGUUACCACAUUCUAACUAUAUACAAAGAGGAUUUUCUUAUGAAAGAUUUUAAUCAUUUGAUCCUAUCAAUAAUUCAUACGUGCGGGAAAAUAAUCAAUUAAAUUGAAUUUCGCUAUAUUUAUAAAUAAAUUAGGAAACCCAAAUUUAUUUAUAAAUGAAAUAGAAAAAGCAAAUGAUACCACAUUCUAGCUAUAUACAAAGAGGAUUUUCUUAUGAAUGAUUUUAAUCCUCUAAUCUGAUCAAUGAUUCAGACAUGCGGGAAAAUAAUCAAUUAAAUUGAAUUUUGCUAUAUUUAUUAAAUAAGUUAGGAAACCCAAAUUUAUUUAUAAAUGAUAUAGAAAAAGCAAUCAAAAUGUUAUAAAUUAAUGAUUUUAAUAAAGAAAAAAUAAAAAAAUUAAAAGUUAAGAGAUCAAAUGAGUAAAAAAUUUGAUAAAGUUAAACAAUUAAUAAAAGACUUCAACAUUGAAGAUCAUGAUAUAUUAAAGUAAGAAAUCAUCAAUAUAAUGAAUAAAAACUCAAUAAAUAUAAGAUUAAACAAGUUAGAGAUUUAAUUAGAUAGAAACUUGGUACUGAAUUUGCUAUAAAUAUAAAUGAAAAACUUAAAAAAUUGAAGUAAAAUUGCAGUGCAGCUUGGUUGUAGUUUGGGGUUUAAAAUAAAAUUUUAAAAUUUAUUGACUUUUUCAUAAUUAUUAACUUUUCGAAGAAUUCAAAAAAUUAUAUCUGUAACGUACAACUGAUGUAACAUAAGCUUUGCCUUUUAAAAGAUGAGGAGCUGACAAGAUGUUGACAAAAUAGUCACAGGUGUCGGUUUGCUGUAUUUGUAAUUAUGUGAACAAACUGAAGUAAACGGUUACGAAUCAAUUUACCAUCAUUAUUUCUGUUAACACGUUUGUCUAAAUAUCAAUACUUUUUUUUUAUAUUGUUUGUCAUGUGCGUGGCUCACAUUUUAAUUCAAUUAUGGGUUGUUAUAUUUGUACAUCUCAAAAAUAUUUGUUUCUAAUUUUUUUUUUUCCUUUUGACAUAUUUUGUUUAGUACUAAUAGCAGUCUAUAGAUGUUUCCGAUUUAAAAGCUGUUGAGAGUAACUUAGAUUAAAUUAAUUAUAGUUCAACAAAUUUGUGAUCUUAUACUAAAAUAUAUCUUCCUCUCUAAUGUCCAUAUUUAUGGGCGAAAUUAUCUACCUCUAUUUAAUUAAGAGAGGAAUAAGAGACCCAACUUACAGUUGAUAUCCCUCAAACCUAUACCCUCAACUUAUUACAUUAAUAAGUGAAAGUUCUUCUAUAACUUAAAUAAUGGUUUUAAUUAAUUUUGAGUAUUGGUUUUUCUAUUUAUGUACUGAUGACAAAGAGACAUAGAAAGCUUCCAUUUUUCUAAAAAGAAAAAAUAUAUUUGAAUUUCAUUCGUUUGACAAUUAGUUCAACCCAAAUGCUUCAUUUUUAUUAAUAAUAUAUUAACUUAUAAUAUUUUAUUUGGCUAAAACGACCCUGCACAUAAAAAUAUAUUUGGUAGAUUUACAUAUUUUGAAGUUUUAUCCUCGUAAGAUAGCUGCUCAUGGACUUUGAGAUUUCUCUAGAAAGGCUCAAUUAUUGAUUUAAUGGGAUCAUAAAUACUCAAUUUUGGGAUUUUCGUUAGUCCCUUGUCUAGCUGUCUCCCUCAGACUUCUAGGGAUCAAGGAAAGGGCAGGUAAAAUGUGUGGUAGCUAUAUGUGUGCGUUUGACACACUGUAUUGUAUUAUAUUGUAUUAUACUAUUUUAAUGAUGGUGUUAUAUUAUGUUGUAUUGCAUCAGCAUUGUAUUAUAAUAAUGUUGUACAAUAUUUGAUAUUGCACUGUACUGUAUUAAUUUUUAAUUAGACUAUAUUUAGUGUUGCAUUGUAUUGUAUUGAUUUUUUGUGAUUAAUUAAAUUAAAUAAUUAGAAAAUAAUAUUUAUUAAUACUUAGAAAAAUAAUAAAUAUAGAAAUCUUUAAUUUUAGAAAUUUAACAAUUUUUUAGUAAAUGUUAAAAAUUAAUUAUUAAAAUUCUAAAAUUUGUAUUAUAAUUAUAAUAAAAUAAAAUUUAUAAAAUUUAAUAUUAUAUGUAAAUAAUAAAUUUAUAUUAUAAUUAAUGUUAUAAUUAUUAAUAUAAAUUUAUAAAUUAUUAUUCAAUAAUAUUAAAUUACAUUUUAAUUUAUAAUAUAUUAUUAUUUUACAUUUUAAUAUAUUAAUAAAUUUAUAAUUUAACAUAAAUAAUCAAUAAUAAAAUAAUUUAUUUUUAUAAUAUUUUAAUAAAAUAAAUUGACCUCAAUUGAGGCAAAAGCCACCCUCGGGUUUGACGGUGCAUGUUACUGAACAUUAUUCAUGGUGACUUUUAAGUCGCCAAUACAAGCCAGUGUCAAUUUUAAAGUGCGGGGAAUGUUCAGAAAAAUGCAUAAACUGUGCGGUUUGAACGUUUCAAGUUUUAAACCUUUGAAACCCUGCAGUUACAAAAUUUUUCCGGACAAUUUUUGCAUUUUAAGAUCCCAGAUAUAUAUAUAUAUAGAACAAUAAAAACUCAAUAAUAAUCUUAUCACUACUAAUGUUAUGCAACUAACUAUUAUUCAAAUAAAAUAUAAAAAAAAUUACUAAAUCAAAGUAAGGAAUAUCUUCAUUUAUUAAAAAUAUAUUAAUUUAUCGAUUAAUUAAUAUUUUCUAAAUUAUUAGAUUCUCCAUUUUCUGAUGGCUAUUAAUUUAUUAAAGUUCUGCUAAAUUGCCUAAGCUUGACCCAAUGAUUUUCAAACAACUUGUUUUAGCUUAUCAUCAUAGUUAUUCAAAUCCAAAAAGAAAUAAGGCUUAAUUUCAUCAUUGUAAUAAAUAAAGAUCAAAUAAAGGAAAUCUUGUCGUAAGGUAUUUCAAAAAAAUAAUUGUACCUAAGGUUUUUGUUAAAUCAAGGCAUUUGAUUCAAAUUCCUAUCAAACCAUACUUUUCUAACUUCAGUGCGCUUAACUAAGAAAUUUGAAGUAUAGGUUACCAUAUUCCUUGAAAAAAUAAAUGCUUAGUGAAUGGAAAUUACGCUAUUUAACUUCAUCCCUCCAUAGUCUUAAUGGUGGUCGUUGGCCUCCCUUUAGUAAGGCCAACAAUCUUCCCCUUAGUAACACCCUAGAAGUUAAUCGAUCUUGUGCCCACAUUUUGACAUAAGCCAGACCUAAGCCCACAUCAUUCAAACAAAGUCCAGGCCCUUCAAAAGCCUGUCCAAAUGGACUGAGCUCGGACUUUUUAAAUUAAUUAUAAAAUUUUUUAAAUUAAGAAAAAAAUUUUAAAUUAAAGAUAAUCAUCUAAUAAAUAAUAAAAUAAUAAUCUAAUACAUAAAAUAUUAGUAAUACAACCUAAUAAAAUAACAAAUACUAAUAUAAAAAAUUAAACUAAUUUAAUAUUUUGAAUUUUUUUUUAUUUAAAUUAAUUUUAUUUUUUUAUUCAUAAAUUUAAAAGGGUCCAGACUUUUUUGCUAAGUUCUUGUCCAGACCCAAUAUAUGUGGGUUUUGUAAUUUUUAGGCCCAUAUCCCAACCCACCCAUUGCCAGCCGGCCUUUAGGUCCGCGGGCCUGGGCUGUGCUUGAUCAGGCCCAAACUUUUUUGCCACUCUUAUAUAGUGCUAGCCUACUUCACCAGUUGACUUGGUCACAUCAAAGCCUCCAUCACUAUAACUUGGCCACACCCAGCCUCUGAAGCCAUUAUGACUUAGCCACACCUUGCCUCCGCCAUUACGACUUGGCCAUACCCGGCCUUUGCCGUUCACGAAGCUGGCACACUACUGACUAAGGAUGGCCAACGGGCCGUGCCGUGCCGGCCCAGGCCCAUCAAAGGAAGCCCACGCGUGCUCGUGCUCGUGCCGUGCCGUGCUCACUAUUCAUUUCGUGCCGUGCCAUGCCGUGCCAACCCGGCACACGUGCCGUGCCCACACGUGCUCGUGCUCGUGCCCACUCGUGCCGUGCCCACACGUGCCGUGCCAUGGGCCGUGCCGUGCCGUGCCUAGGAAAAAUAGCCCACUAAGUGUUUUUAUUUUUUUAUUUUUUUAAGAGCGUAUGCCAAGUUAUUGUCUUAUUUUUUUCAAGCUUAUGUAUUUUUUAUUUUAUCCAUAUGCAUUUAUUUUAAUUUAAUAGAAUAAAAAAUUCAAAACUCAAGUCCAUAUUCAAUAAUAAUAAAUUAAUAAUAAUAAGAGAAUGUAAUAUUAGUUGCUAAGUUUGACUCUAUGGUAUUAUAAUUUUUUUUAAGCACAUAACAAUAACAAUAAUAAUAAUUUUUUUUAAGGGUUAACUUAAUUGUUAACUUGGAGUUACGUAGAGUCAUAUAUCAUAGUUUAUAAUAAUAUUAAUACAUAUUUAUAAAAUCAUUAUAUUUAUAAUUUUAUUUAUUAAAAUCAUGAUAUCAGUUAUUUAUUUAAUAAAUUAUAAACAUAAAUCAAUUAUAAUUUUUUUGAAACUAAGAAUUAAAUAAAUUUAAAAAACUUGAGCUAAUAAAAGAUAUUAAAAGAUUCAAUUUCAAGUUAUUUAUAAAAUCAUAAAAUUUUAAAUUUACUUUCAUUAAAAAAUGAAACGUGCUUAUUGCGUGCUUUUUCGCGUGCCGUGCUUUGGCCCAUCUUUAAUCGUGCCGUGCUUUUAAGGCCCGCGUGCCUAAAAUCUAAGCCCGGCACGGCCCAUGUACGUGCCGUGCCGUGCCGCGUGCUCUACCGAGACGUGCUCGUGCCGUGCCGUGCUGUACGGACACGUGCCGUGCCCGUGCCGUGCCUCGUGCCGUCUGGCCCAUUGGCCACCUUUACUACUGACUAAUUGAUAUGUGAUGGGCAUAAUAUAUUGAUAUAUUUUCCCUCAAAUCAUAUAAUAGUUGGUCUCUUUUAUUUUUAUUUUUAUUUUUAACUAGUUUAUUUAUUUUAUUGAACAGGAAAAUUAACUGGGGAUUUGCGAUUAAAUGAGCAUAAAAGAAUCAAAAUUGGAUAGAUUGAAGCUAUCGGAAUUGUUGCAAAUGGGCUUGGGCAAACGAAAUCUUAUUUGGACCUUUUUAAUGCUUUCCCGUGUAAAAGCAUAAAGCAAUAAGGAAUAUUAUCUAUGGGCAUUAUAUUAGGCAUGCGAAUAUCCAUAUGGGCUGUAUGUGAAAGCCCAUUGCAAGGUUUUUAUUUCCUUGAUUUGCAGGAGACGGUGGCUAUAAUCAAAAUAAUAAAAGAAUUUGAUUUGAUUUGGGAAGUCGGUGGCCUAAGCCAAGUCUUCGGCUUUUGCACAGAAAGAGGGGUGGAAUUGCAGCGCCCAAGAGGAAUUGAAGCGCAGCAGCAGCGACGGCUUGGAGAAAGAGCCAUCCGCUCGGAUUGAUUUCCCCUUACGGUUUUAUCUAUUCUUUUAUCCCCAGUUUAAUUAUGUGUAACUAAAUUUUUUAUAUUAGAAUUAUGGAUAAAGACCUGUUUAAUAAAAUAAAUUAAUUUUUUAUUUAAUUAAUUUCCUAUAUGUGUGUUUUGAUAUUUAUGAUUCUUGCUUCGGAUGUUUAGUUGAAUAUUAUUAAAUCUUUUCACCAAUUCUGUCAUGUAUUAUUGAUUAUUAGAAUUAUUAUUUGACUAAAUCGAUACUUGAAUCCAUAAAGCUUAUAAGUAAUUAUCUUUGAUUAUGUGUCUUUUAUUAAAUUGUUUAUACAGAGUUAAUUUUGAUUUUUUGAUACUCUAUAAUGUUUACAUUAUAUGCUUAGAUAUCAUGCUAUUAAGUAAAAAAAAAAAAAAGAACUUACAUAAGAUUAUUUCUAAUUGGGCUUAAUUGUUAAAUUUAUAAGUAGACAUAAAUUGAUUUUGAGCUGUCACUUCAACUUGAGAAUUGAUUGGAAAUUAGAUAAUUGCUCAGUUGAAUUGUAGUGGAUUUUAAGACCCUAGUAGCUUCAAUCUCUUGAAUUCUUUUGUUAGUUUAUUUGCCUUUAAUUUAAUAGCAUCUUUAGUUUUAAUUUUUUCAAACAAAUAUUCUCUUUUCUAAGUAGGGUAGAGUUAUAAUUUAGUUAGAUUAAAUUUUAUUUUCUUAAAUAUUAACAACCCUUAUGAGUUCGACCUCGUUAUUCUUAAUUUAUACUCUAAUAGACUCGUUCACUUGCAAGCAUAUUAAAAUUUACACAACAAUAAAAUGCUAUAUAACUACUUGUUAGUAGCUGCCAUCCAUGAUGAUAGCUUCCGCUGAUUGGUUGAUAUGGUGUUAACCCACCAAUUGAGUAUGUGAUCCUUCACCCAUCCUUGAAUUUCUCUAGCUUCAUCAUGCUUAAUUAUGGAGUUUUGAAUUAAAGAUUGCCACAUUCAUCUACAAAUAAAUUGUUGCUCCCAUAAUUAAUAUUAAACAAUUUAACUUCAUCCUGCAUUGUGCUAGGGGCGGUUGCUAGCCCCAAUAAAGCCAGCCAUUCUUACAAUGACUUUUGAUGCUAAUGGAAUAGGAUUUAAAAAAAAAAAGAUUUUAAAAAAGUUGCAACUCUUUUAAUAUAACUAUUUAAUUUAGACUAACAUCAAAAUUGUGAGGAAUAGAAGUUUCUAGAUUACAGCUGCAGCUCAGCAGAAGAUUUUGAGAUUGCAGCUCAAAGCUGAGCAGCUCAAAUAUAGUUAGUUAUUAGCUUAGCCCGAGUUAUUAGUAAUUUAUGUGUGUGAAUUUUAUGCGAGUACCAACGUGGCAUUAGUUUGUUUUGGAUGUACAGCUGUCAUGAUCCUAUUAGUUAGAUAUUAGAAUUGUUACUAGCUCAGUUUGUUUGUUUAUCUACCAGAAAUAUUACACAUGAUGCUAGAGAUCAGAAGUUAGUUUUUUUUUUUUAAUUGGAAAACAAAAUACUAAAUUCUGAUCUCUAGCAUGUGUAAUAUUUAUAGUAGAAGUUAGUUACAAUAAUACAAAUACUCUCUUACCUUGAUUUUACUUUCUUUGCUUUUCUCUGUAUCCAAAUACAUCGUUAUAAAGCUUCACAAAAAUUAAUUAAACCAUUUAAUAUUUUAUAUCCUUCAAAUUACAUGCACCAUUUCCGUUAGUGGUUGGUUCCUUUCUCUCCAACGUUCAAAGUUCUCCACAAUUAUUUAUAGCAAGGUUGUAAUGUCACAAUCUUGGAUCGAAACAGGACAAAAACACCUUAUUAAACGAAAGUCGAACAAAUUGAAAGCACAUUUGUCAGACGAGGUUGUAAUAAAUAUUUUCAUUGAAAAAUAAAGAUUUUAGAGAGGCAUUCAUUCAAAGAUUCAUAAAAUUAAAAAGUGAAAUUACAAAUCUAUUUACUUGUAAAACUAAAAUUUGAAGCUGAUCAAAUAACACAGUUCUAGUGAAAAGUAGAAUAACAAUUACAACUCAGAAAUUUGUCUCCCAAGGAAGAUUGGAUGAUAAAUAUUGAUUACCACUAUUUUAGUUAAACUUUUUUAACAGACGUGAAAAAGUCUGAUUUAAAAUUUUUAUUUUUUAAUUAUUAACUCAUGCAUCAUUCAAGUUAGAACUUAAGACCUCAACUUUAAUAAAUCUGCUAUUUACCACCGGAGCGCAGGACCUCUCUUGACUACGUGAAAGCUCAACAUCCAUGUGAUUGGUUGUAAUUGAUGUUUGCUAUAUAUGCUCAAAGGCUUAGCAAAGAAUCAAACAUAUUCACGAUGAAACCUCUCAGGAAUCACAAUGAAGGUCGUUUUCUUCUCUAUUUCCGUGAGACUUCUUUUCCACUGAAAUUAAAACUCGAAAGAAUUCUGAUUUGCAAUAAUGAAUGAUCAGAAUUCAGAAAAUUCUUUUUGCAGAAGAGGAAUUAUUGAUUACUACUUAGACUGAUUAAAAAAAAAAUUGCUUCUUCAUUUUGUAAAAAUUUCAAUUUCUUUUUGAUUAAAUUGAAUGUUGACUAACGACGCAGGAAGUAAAAGUUGUCCGCUGCGCUUAAUUUCACCUUUCCCUUUUACGAUUGUCAUUCGCAUCCGAUUCCAGCAACACUCUUUUUGCAUUCAUUCGCUUAUUUCUACUGUUUCUUCGGGAAAGAGUUGUUGUUCAUGAUCAUGAAAAUGUUUUAUUUUGAUAAAGGGAAAAUUGCACCUAUACUCCCUAUAUUCAAUGAAAUGUAUAUGGAUUUCGUCUUCCCCUCCUCAGUUUUUUUCCCUCUCCUCUUUUCCUCCCCUCUUCUCUCUUUUUAUUUCUUCAAUCCAAACUUACUGUCACUUAAGUUUUUAAAAAUGAUCAUACAGACACCCUUUUACCCUUUUACUCUAUUAACUUAGAAAAAUUGACUCUAAAUUUCAUAAUAUACAAAAAUAUAGUAUUAAAAUGCCUGUGAUGUGUGUGUGUGUGUAUAUAUAUUUAAUUUAAUAUGAUUAAUUUGAGAUAUGUUUUAUUAUUAAUAUUUGUAAAAGCAAGAUUUAUUUUAAAUUUUUUAAUAAGUAAAAAUAUAAUAUUCAAAUAAAUACAAAAAUAUUUUUAUUUUUUAUUAUUUUGAAUAUUAUAAAAAAUCUAUAUAUUAUUAAUAUGCCAAUCAAUUUUUUGUUAAUAAUAAAAUUUAUUUUACCCAAAUAUUUUUUACAAAUAUAUUUAUAAUAGGUACAAGCGUAAUACUAUAAGUAAAUAUAAUAAUUUUUAUUUUGAAGAUAUUUCAAUUAUUAAAACACUUAUUUUAAUAUCAUAGGUAUCUUAGAGAAAGAUUUUAUUAUUAAUGGUAGAUUUUCAUUUAUUAAAAGACAUUAAAGUAAAUUUUCUUAGUUAUUAUAUUAAAAGAAUAUAAUGAGGAUUAUGCGUGACAAUGUGAGCAUUUAUGAAACCUUAGAGGUCUACUUAUUCAUUUAAGCAAAGCAUGAGGGCUUAGGUAUCCUUUUUCCUUCAGUAAACUAUCAAAAUUUAGUUAUAAUAUUAUGAGCAAAUAGUACAAUAUCAAUAUAUUUAUGGGAGAUUAGAUAAAGAAUAUUAUUACCACCCUUUUUGGUUAAAACUUUUUCUAACGGAUGUGAAAAAGCUUAAUAAUAACGAGUGCAAAGGAACAUAUGAUCUCGACUGAUUUGAGCCAUUAUGAGUCCUUUUGAAUAAUAUUGUUUUGCUGCGCUUGGGAGGACUUAAACUUACUUUACAACUUCAUUGAAUGUUCAUCAAAAGGAAAAUAAAUAAAUAAAUAAUCGAUCUUGCAUAGAUUAUUCUUCUUUUCUUUUUUUUUCCCUGAUUAGUUGGGAGGAUAUUUUGGUAAUGGUUUUGAUGGCUUUCUUAGGAGAUUAAUUAUUUAAUUUCCUCUUCAGUUUUAUGCUUUUGCAGCUAAUUGACGUUCGCUAUAGAAUUAGCAAUAAAUUAAACUACUUAAAAGAGAAGCAUAUAGUAGUGUACACAUCUUCCUCAGAAAUCAGAAUAAAUAAAUUAUGGUGGUGUAAAACUUCUACACAAUUUCCAUCCAUCUUUUUCCCAAUCGAUAAUCACAAUCGACCAUGCAAAGAUUGAAAAGAAGGAACUAGCUUGAAGAAUCUAGUGAAAAAACUUGGAACAAAAUAACAUAGUAGUUACAAAUAUAAGAACUCUACAUCCUUAUUUAUAUCAAGAGUUUAUAAUAUUAAAUUACAAUCUUUGUAAUAGAAACACUUUAUUAAAUGAAAGAGGAAUAACUUAAAAGCAUCGAUCGAUCGAGACUGCAAUAAUACAACAAAGAUUAAAGAGGCGUUCAUACAAAGAUUCAUAAAACUAAACAUGGGUUUCCUGGGGGCUCCUGGAAACUUUCAAAAGUUCUUUCCCGGAAACUUUCAAAAGUUCUUUCCAUCGCGUCUGACUUUUUUGAGAAAUGACGCGAACACAGUACGAUUGAGUUAUCGUGUUUUUCCAACAUCACUGACCCGCUGAGGAUUUUUUGUGUUGGUUCAUCAGCCGUCUGCUUAAGAGAACUAGUACUACUCAUGAUUUGCUCUUAUUCAGUAUAAUGAGUAUUUGCUCCUGAGAAAGCUUGCUAGCUCAGUGUUAAUGAGGCUAACUAUAUAUGCUACAAAAUGAAUCAAAAACUUAACAGAGAAGCAAAACCAUAUUCAUGAACCUCUCAUGAAUCAGAAUCAGAACAAACAAAGGAAUUGCAUUCCACCUUUCUCAUGACAAAAAUAAUGCCGAUAAAGGUAAAUUGAGAAUCGAAUAAUUCAAUAAUCAAUCAAGAAUAUUCGAUGAUCAGAAUAACAGCAGAUGGACGCGAAAAUCAGAAACAAAGUGGCAGCGGCUUUGUGGCGUUCGUGUGGUUGUUCUGGGCGGUGAUUGACGUCGAUGACGCUGAUGUGUGGUCAUCGAUGCCUUAUGAAUGUGAAUAAUCAUAAUCGUCAUCACAAUUACAUCAUCAACAUUAAAAUUCAGUUUCAUCUUCAUCAUCGUCAUCACAAUUACAUCAUCUUCAUCAUCAUCACCACAGUUACAUCAUCAAUAAUCAUAGUCGUCAUCAUAAUCGUCGUCAUCAUUAUUAUUGUCAUAAAAGGAAGUGAUUUUUUGGAAACGCUUAUUGAGCGAUCUUCAUGGUUAAUUGCUGCAAUCGACGACGACUCCGACCGGUGAGUGACGCGAGAGAAACCAAGUGGUGAGAGGUGGUGGCUGGUCGGUGACGAGUUGCUCAGCCCGUGAGUGACGCGAGAGAAGAAGAGAAGAGAGAGAAACCAACUGUUGAAGUCGGGUACGGGCCGAUCGGUGACGAGCGACUGCAAUCGGCGAUCAACCGCCCGUUGACUGAUGCCCAUGAGUGCUGAUCGUUUCUACGUGAGGGAGAUGAGAUGGGUCGGCUGCCUGCUUAAGGAUUUCGGUCUGCCUUUUGUUUCGAUUCAUACUUUUCAAUGGAAAGAGGGGUAUUUUCGAAAUAUUAAAAAAAAUAACGGGAUUUGUUCACGAGUGGGAAUGGGAUUAUGAUUUCCAACUCCCGUCACUGAAAUCAGAAACUCAGUAAUCACUCCUUAUUUUGUGUGGGAGUGGAACCCAUGUAAAUUAUUUCCAUUCUUAAUUUUAAUUUAAUAAGUAAAUAAAGUUUUUACUCGCUAAAUGUAAACACGCCGUAAAAAUAAUAUUACUCAUUUUAAUCUAAACAGUAAGCAAUGUGUCUAUUUUAUUGGGCCCUGACUAUUAUAAACCGGAGCCUAUCACUUGGGUUGGAACUACGGUCCGUAGGUUGAGCGCAGCUUCAAAGCCUUUAAAAUUACCUUAAAGAGGAAAAUAUCAUUACACACAAUCUCUCUCUCUGUCAUAAUUAAGUUCUUCUCGCGCCCUUUUUUUUUUGGGAGUUUGCAAAUAUCUUGUAGAAAGAUGAAAAAUUCUUGUCCAUUCUUAAUUAAUUUGGGGUCAUAUUUCAGGGUCAGGCUACAGUGCAACUGUGGUACCGUGGCACGGAUGAGUGGGAUCCACUUGAAUAAGUGGGAAUCCAACGGUUGGGUGCAACUGUGGCACGGUACCACAGUUGCACCACAGUUUUAUCCCAUAUUUCAGUUUAAGUACAUGUAUAGUCUCUAUGUACUCAAAAGUACCUUAAAAAUACUUGCUAUUAAAUAUAUUACAUUCAUAUUCUUAUUCUUUUAUUUACUUUUAAUGUAAUACUCUUGCAAUAAUAUUUUUGGGUAUAUUAAUUGAUAUUAAAAAAAAGGUUAAUUAAUAAAUUAACCUUAAAAGUAAAAUUCUUUUAAAACCUUUUAAUUCUUUUAAAUUUUUAAUCUUUAUUCAAAUUACCUUAAAAGAUAAAAAGAAAAAAAAAAUCAUUAUCCGGAAUCUCUCUCUCAUAAUUAUGUUCUCCUCUUUCAUUUGCUUGGUGCCUUUUUUUAAUUUUUUUUUUAAAGUUUGCAAAUCACUUGAAUGUAAAAAUAUGAAAAGUUCCUGUUCAUCCUUAAGUAAUUGGGUCUUUAUUUAGCACUUAGGAUUUGAUUUAUUAAAGUUUUUUUCUUUUUUUGCAAAUUUUUCAUAUUCUUAUUAAGCCAUGUCUAUUUUCAAAUUUUUUUCUUCAUAUAGCAUUGCCUUAAAAACUAAUAAAAUAUGUACAUGUUCUGUGUGUUUUUAGAAGAGAGCAAUACUACAAAUUGAAAAUUGAAAGGGGAAGAAAUUGGAGGGCAAUUUUGGAAUCAUUGGGGUCUUAUUGGGGUAUCUUGAACAGAGUGGUUUUAUGAGGAAUUUUUAGGGGUGUCAAAAUCUUGAGUCCCCUUACUCAAAGAAACCUUUUAAUAUGAAACCUUGACGUAGACAUUUACGUACCAUAUUUUAAAAUAUAUAUAUAUAAAUGACUCAACCUUUAGAAAAGGACAAUCCACAACUAGACCACCGUUCUUUGACGGUAAUGACUAUGCAUAUUGGAAAACUAGGAUGAGAAUCUAUUUGCAAGCUUUAGAUUAUGAAAUUUGGGAAGUUGUUUGUGAUGGUCCAUUCAUGCUUAUGAUUAAAAAUAAAGUGGGAGAUGAUAUUCCUAAACCAUCAAGUCAAUUGAGUGAGUUAAAAAAGAGAAAAAUGUCCUUCAACUCCAAGGCAAUGAAUGCCUUGUUUUGUGCUCUCGAUAAAAAAAGAGUUCCAUAGAGUAUUUAGUUGUGAGAGUAUACAAGAAAUAUGGAAUAAACUUGAAGUUGUAUAUGAAGGAACAAAUCAAGUCAAGGAGUGUAAAAUUAGUAGAUUCACUAGGCAGUAUAAGAUGUUUCAAAUGGAAUCAUAUGAGAGUAUUCAUGAUAUGUACACUAGAUUUACCGAUAUUGUCAAUUCUCUUGAAGCACUAGGAAAGACAUUUAGUAAUUGUGAAAAAGUGAAGAAAAUUAUUAGAUCAUUGCCUAAAGAGUGGAGACCAAAGAGAACGGCCAUAAAAGAAGCAAAAAAUCUUAAUACUUUAUCACUUGAUGAUCUUAUUGGUUCACUUAUUUCAUAUGAAGAAGAUAUAGCUAAUGAAAGAAUUGAUGAAGAUAAAAAAAAAAGAAGAGCUUUGCUUUUAAAUCUUUUAUAGUUGAAAAUGAUGAUGAUUGAAGUGACUUUGAAGAUGAAGGCAUUGAGAUGAUUGCUAGAAAGUUUAGGAGGAUCUUUAAGAAGCAAAUCAAGAGAAGAAAUUUUAAAAAUCUCAUGAGAGAAAACCUUAAGGUAGAGAAAGGAAAUAAGGAGGCAAUUGUUUGUUUUGAAUGCAAAAAGCAUGGGCAUAUAAGAUCGGAGUCUUCACUUUUCAACAAACUCAAGAAGAAAGCCAUGAUGGCUACUUGGGAUGAUAGCGAUGAAGAAUCGAGUGAUGAAAAAGAUUCGCAAGAAGUGUCAAACCUAGCAUUUAUGGCAAUAGGAGAUGAUGAUGAUGAUCUCGAUGAGGUAAGUAAUCCUACCUAUGAUGAAUUAUAUGAUGCUUUUAAAGAAUUGCAUGAUGAGUGGAUGAAAAUUGGCAAAAAGAAUGUAUGUCUUAAAAAGAAAAUGGUAGAGCUCAAAAAUGAAAAUGAAUCUCUAAGUGCAAAGAUUACAUACCUAGAAUUAGAGAAUAAAACAUUAAAUGAUAUAGUUGCAUUAUCAAAUGAGAAACCUAACACUUCACACGAGCAUCUAGAAUCACACAUAGAUGACUUGAAAAAUGAAAAUGAAAUGCUUAAGAAGAAGAGCAAUGAGUUAAAUGAAAUUGUUUUAAAAUUUAUAAACGGACAAAAGAUGUUGGAUAAUAUGCUUAACUCUAAAAAAUAUAUAUUUGAUAAAGGAGGACUUGGGUAUAAGCCUAACUUGAAGCAAAAAUAUAAUAAGAAUUAUUUUGUUAAAGCUACCUCCAUAAGUGAUCAUAAGAUUGUUUCUCAUCAUUGCAAUCAAGAUGGUCACAUGAAGAAUAAAUGUCCAAUUAAAAGAAAUGCAUAUUAUGGAGCAAAAUGUAUUUGGGUUCCAAAAGGAAUCAUUACUAACACUCAAGGACCCAAGAGUAUUUGGGUACCAUAAGGCACAACUUGAAUUUUUUUUUUUUUAGGUACCAUAAUCAAGAAAUGGUGGAGAGUUCCUCAAUGAAAGCUUGUGAGAAUAAUCACUUGAUCAUGAUCUAAGAGAAAAUGAUUUAAUUGUUUUGGUAACAAUUCUUAUCAUAUUGAUUUGGUUGAAUGGAUCAUGAUGGAUGGAUAGUAGCUUGAAUUUGCGAAAGUAUGCUAGUAUGUUUACAUAAUUGAAUUAUUAUUGUGUAUAAUCAUGAUGCAUGGAUAAAUAUAAACGAUGACUUUUCUUAAUAGCGAUGUUAAUUUUGAUGAUUUAUAUAUUGCCAUAUGUUGAUUUUGAUGAUCUAUAUAUUGUCAUUAUGUACUUAUGAUUUACUUAAGUUUUGAUGAUAAAGAAUGUGUUUUGAUGAUUACAUUGUAUUUGAUGAAUUUUGAUCUUAUGCAAUCUAUGAUUGGUGAAUGGAUGCAUUUUUUGUACUUUAUCGAUGUAUUGUUGAAUAUGCAUUACUUGUUUUAAAUGAUAUCGCAAAAGGUUAUAUAUAUAUAUAUAUAUAUCGAGAAUUUUAAGCAUAUAAGAUUUUUUAAGUUAUAUUGAAAUGUCACAUUAGAUCAUUGAUGGAGUUGUUGGUUUGUUAUAAUUGUUUAAACUUAUAUGGAAGUGUUUUUAACCAUGUUGUGUAUUUGAGGAUUGUUUAUUUUUAAGGGGAGAUUUUGCUGAAAUUUUUACUCGCACAAAAUGGAUAAUAUCUUCAUCGCAUUAUUUUUUAUGAUCUUGUUUCGAUUGCAUCUAUCUAUCUUUUCUUUUUUAUGAUGAAGGGGGAGAUAAAUAUGACAUGUUUUUGGAUAAAAUUAUUUUGGUUAAAAUUUUAAAUUGGUCAUAUAUUUAGGGGGAGCAUAUAAUAUGAUUUUGGAUAAUAUGCAUUUUAAACUUUUUUGUUGUCCAAAAGGGGAGACAAAAUAAUAUAUCAUUUUGAUGUUAUCAAAAAGAGGAGAAUAAUAUGGACUUUUGAAUAUUGUUUUGAUGAUUAAUAUGUGAUUAUAGUGAUGAUUUUGAGAUAUUGAUUUGAUUACAUGGUGUGUAUCAUGAUUUAUAAUAAUUUGGGAGUAAUAUUACUAAACUUGUAUUUGAGGUUAUGCUUGUUGUUAGGGGGAGUAUCUAUCCCAAUUUCUACUCGAACAACAUGGGUAACAAAUUUGCUACUCUUUUUUUUUUCCACUAAGUUUUCUUUUUUAUGAUAAGGGGGAGAAGAAUACAUGUAUUUAAAUUUGUUAAUUUAGCUAAAUUGUAAGAAAAGCUUACAUUUAGGGGGAUCAAUUUGUGCAAUCAUUCUUUAAAUAUAUGAAAGGUUUGUCAUCAUAAAAAAGGGGGAGAAUGUUAACAUAUAUGUUUUCAUAUUGUUGAUUUUGAUAAUAACAAACAAGAUUAAGAAUGAUUAAUCUUUUAAGCUCAAAUUGUAAGGGGAGCUUACAUUUAGGGGAAGCAAGUUAUGGAAUCAUUCUUUAAAUACAUGCAAGGUUUGUCAUCAUCAAAAAGGGGGAGAUUGUUAGCAUAUAUGUAUCCAUAAUGUUGAUUUUGAUGAUAGCAAACAAGAUUAAGAAUGAUUAAGUUUUUAAAAGCUCAAAUUAUUUUAAAUAAAUUAUUAUUUUCAUAAUAUAAAUGUUUUAUACUUAAUGGAAAAAUAAUUUUUAUGAAAUUGGUUAUUUUCAAUUAAUGGUCUAAAUUAAAAAAGUUUUGAAACUCUGAAAAUGGACUUAUUUGUAAAGUUUUAUGAUAAUUUGGGCCAUAAUAUUAUUUUAUAAAGUUUUGGGGUCAAACUAUAAUUUUACAAAAUAAAUCACUGUAGCAGUUACUGUAGAAAACGGCGAUCCGACAUCUCAAUAAUGGUGCUCCGACAUUGCACAGAAUUGAAAGAUUAGCCUCUGGACACUAACGGCGAUCCGAUAUCUAGGUAACGGUGAUCCGAUAAUUUAAAAAUCCAGCCCAACGGUCAUAUUGACAAGUCAAAUGACGACUGACAUCUAGUUAACGACGAUCUGACAUUGAGCAGAAAGUCAAUAACGGCUAGUUUUCAGCUCCAACUAUAAAUAAGCUCAAUCAAAUUCAAACAAAGAUAGAUCCAAGAGUUAUCAUUGAGCUUGCUAUCCAAUUCACCACUUGAUCCGCGCGAAACAAUCCACGGUUGUUCCAACGAGACCGAGACCGAGAUUCACCAAGUCCUCCAAGGUUGCAACUUUUUCAAUUCUAUUUUAGUUUAUAUUUUUUUACGGCAGUCGCUGGAAACGGACUAAAAUGAAGUAAUUGCAUAAAAGUGAUCUUGUAAUUAUUAAACAACCCCAAAAUUAACAAAAAUGACUCAAAAUUGUCCUUAACUUGAAUUGACCCGAAUUUUAGUUUCGAUCUGAUCCGAUCCGAUCCAAAUACAAUCCGAUCGAUCCAAUCUAAAAUUCGGGUUGAAUUCGGAUGAGUUUCGCUCCAACCCAAUCAACCCGAAAUCCGAUCGGGUUGAUCCGAACCCGAUUUUGCCUACCCCUAGUAUGCACAGACCAAAGAAACCGAUUGGACGAGGCACAUCGUCGAUAGCGUGGUCGUAGUGUGGCACAUCGUAUUCGUAUGACCUCCCCAUUUUCUGCUUGCUCAGUUUUUGGACGAGGCACCCAUAAACUUUUGUGCACGAAGCCCACUAGAUGAUUUAUUUCUUCGUCGCCAUUCAGUUCGCCGCGCAGCAGUGCUUGUUGAAAUACGUAACUGAAGAAUUUUGAAAUCAAUUCAUGGAAAUCUUCUUCAGGAGUCUUGGUCAUGUCAUAAAACUUCUGAAGAACGAAGAAGGGAAGUUGAUUAUCAGCCAACAAUAAAUCACGACCUAGUUUCCCAGGGAUACAAAUUAUCCAGAAACUAGGGUCGUUCCAUUCGUUUUGCGCUGUGUAGCAAAAUACCUCAACGAUAAAGCAAGCAUCAAGGAGCAUCAUUAUCGCAAACUGGUCUGAACUAAGACUUACUGGUUCUGAAUAACAUCUACGAGCCCUUUUUUCUAAAUCUUUUAUGGCCGUGACAUACUCUUUUGCACUUUCUUCCCCUCUUCGCUGGAGAAGCUUCUUUAGAAAUCGCUUUUUGUGCUCUUCCAUCAGUUUUAAGUGAUUUUUAGAGUGGAGCUCGUAGGUAAAUGCACCGAUUGCUAUCAUUUAUGGUUCAUAGGCUUUUACAUUCACACUACGUAGAUUCUCAACUACGCUUGGGAUUGUAGGAAGACAUAAUGUAUCAAGUACUUCCUUAAGUAUGUCAUCAAUAUUAAUCGAUAAUUGAUCGCCAUCAUGACCCAUUUGAUUUUCUGCCACUGUUAAUCAACAUAAUUAAUGUUGGAAUUAACAAGACUAAAAUCAUAACAAGACAGUAAUUGAAUUUUUAUAGGAGAAUUAAAAGUUGUAUAUUAAUAAGGAAUUGUUAAUUAUAUGAGGCUCGCCAUUUUUUUUUCUUUUUCCUAACCGAAACUUAUUGCUAGAAUUUGUUCUUCAAACUAGGGUUGGGCAACUUCAGAUUCGGAAUCCGAUUGGAUUUCGAAUGAUUUGUAUAGAGAAAAAAUUUAUCCGAUUCUAAUAUGAACUUCAAAUCCUAUCCAAACUAGAUCGAAUCGGGUGAAUAUUUUAGAUUUGAAUCUGCUCAGAUUUGAGUGAUAUUAUAGAUUCGGAUUAUAUUUCAGAUUCAGGGUAGAUGAGGCUACCAGCUAGGAUCAUUUGGGUUGUGUCAUCGGCGGCUGCUGCAAAUAAGGCAUCCCAGAUUAGAACAACCUAUUCUAUUUAAGUAACAUGAUAUUUAAAACCUGAAAUUUAGUAACAGCUACAAACCUCAAAACUUUUGGAGAAAUCUUUCAUCUAUUCAGCAAGUUCCUCUUUCUUUUGAGCAGCUACAUGGAGACAGUAACCGACUUGUGAGAAUCUCUUGUCUCAACGAAAUCUUUCAAUUAGUUUAUGUAUUAAUGGAAAACAUUAUGCCAACUGCAAAUCAUUGCAUGCACUAGAGGUAGGCAAAAUACCCGACCCGACCCGAUCCGACCUAAAACAUUUCGGGUUCAGAUCGGAUCGGGUUGUGAAUAGAACCCGAUUGGAUAAAAUCUUUUAAACCCAAUCGGGUUGUGAUCGGGUCGGGUAAACCCGAUCUAAUCCAAAAACCCGAUCGGGUUGCUUAAAAAAAAAAACCAAACAUAAAUGGGUAAACUAAACAGUUACAAACACCAUGGCUCACACCAACACUCUCCGUGUUUCCAAGCAAACACCACAGCUCCACUUUCGAAAAAAGAAAACAAAAGAAAAUUACAAAAAUGAAGUUUAGGAGUCACACUUUACUGUUCACUCUCUUUCUUCUCUUCUUUCUCACAAUUCACACAAAUAACUACAAGCAACAACAGUAGGUCAGCACAGCAGUGGGCCAGCGGUAGCACACCACUUCAACCGCUGCACUGAUGAUAGGAUCUGUUUGCUGCUGCACUAACGGUUGCUCAAUUUCACUUCGAUUAGAUCUACUUUUCCGGUAGCCACCGACGAAACCCGUGAAGCCAUCGAUGAAACAAUCUGCCACUUGGUCCAUCGACCGCCACUUGAUCUGCACGAAACGAUCCAUGGAUGUUCCAACGAGACCGAGAUCGAGAUUCACCAAGUCCUCCGAGGUCGCAACUUUUUCAAUUCUAUUUUAGUUUAUAUUUUUUUACGGCAGUCACUGGAAAUGGACUAAAAUGAAGUAAUUGCAUAAAAGUGAUCUUGUAAUUAUUAAACAAUUAUUAAACAACCCCAAAAUUAACAAAAAUGACUCAAAAUUGUCCUUAACCUGAAUUGACCCAAAUUUUAGUUCUGAUCUGAUCCGAUCCAAAUAUAAUCCGAUCGAUCCAAUCUAAAAUUCGGGUUGAAUUCGGAUGAGUUUCGCUCCAAUCCGAUCAACCCGAAAUCCGAUCGGGUUGAUCCGAACCCAAUUUUGCCCACCCCUAGUAUGCACAGACCAAAGAAACCGAUUGGAGAUGAUGACGUACCUUUACUAGAAAUAUCUUCAAUGCUCCUUGGCAUCGUGGGUUUGGAGGAGCCUUAAAUGUGUGGCUAAAUGUCGAUCAAGAUGUGGCUGGGUUCAUUCUGUUUGUAUCGUCGAUAGCGUGGUCAUAGUGUGGCUCAUGGUGUGGGACGCCGUCCAAUUUGUGGUUUCUCUAGAGAAGCGUAAUGACAUGGCUGCUGGUUUAGACAUUAGGUUUUUCAAUUUGGGAUUUUUAAUUUGUACAUUUGUCCUUCUAUAUUUUCUUUUUUUCCUUUUAAGUAGCACUGCAAUCCAAUAGGAUUAUUCGGAUUGACUCGAGUCCAAUCCGAUCCAAAUCAAAUCCGAUCGAAUGGCACAAAUCACAUUUGAUCAAAUUUGAAGGCAAAUCCAAUCUAAAUUUGUAUGGAUCGAGUCAGAUCUACCCAAAUUGGAUCCAAUGCCCAGCCCUAAUUAAAACCAUGAAAAUAUCUUUGAAUACAAGUUGAAAUACAAGUUUGAUUAUAAUAAACUAAUGUGGUCCUAACAAAGAGGGAUCACAUUACAAGUUGAAGUACUCUGUUGUUGUAUUGAUAUUUUUUUGGCAUUUCACACCCCUUUAACUUACCAAACUAAAAAAAAAAAGAAAAAAAAACACAAAUCUCAAUAUAGUGUGAUUGUCUCAUAGUACAUCGAAGUUUGUAUUUCUAUUGUUUAGCUUGAACAUCAUUCUAUAUCAUUUUAUUUUAUUUUAAAUGAGGGAUCUAAGGGGCUCAUAUUAGGGAAAUUUACAAAACUAGUACAAAAACUUUUGGAUUUUACCCAAAACAACUAUGAAAUUGACCCCCUCACCUUUUUCUACCAUAUAUAACUAUCUAAAUAUCUAAUUUUUGGAUGAAAUGCUCUCAGCACUUUUAACAAUUCACCAAAGUAAUACUACUCUAAACAAAUCAUCAAACCUCAUAAUUCUCAACAAAUUGAUGCGGAUGUAAUUAAAUAUUAUUUUCUUUUAAAUGAAUUGGGCUAGCCUGGAUUUUUUGCAAGCCUACCCAUAGGUGCAUGUUGCACUUGUGUGAAGGUGCCUAUCACUCAAGCUCAAGUGCAACAAGUACCCAUCUAACAAUUUUCUGGGUUCAUCUUCUACUUCGUUUUUACUCAAAAUUUAUUUAUUUAAGCCUUGGACAACGGUUUAAGGAAUAAAAAAAAAAAACUCAAAUCAAACCAUUGCUCUCUAUGUAUUUUUAAAUAAUUGUAUUUAAAUUUAUAAAUUAAAAUAAUAAAUCAAUUUUCAAUCAUUAAAAAUUUCCUUAUCAAUUUUAUUUAUUCAAAAGUCAAUUAAUUUAAGACCUCUGACUUUAGGAAGCCUUACUUUUUUUUUUAUAAGAUGUAAAAUUAAUUAAUUAAGAAAAUACUUGAAUUACAAUUCAAUACUAAAAAACUUAAAUUUAUUAUUAUUUUAAUUUAUUAUUGAUUAUAACAAUUUAUUGAUUAUUAUCCGAUUACAUCUAUUCAAGCUAAGGCCCGCAAUGGCCGCUAGUAAGGCCCAACCCUCCAAAUUUGGAUGGACUUUUAGAGAGUCUGGGCCUAUUUCCCCUAAUGUAAAUUUAGGUUUGAGGUUGACAAAAUUAUAUUUGACUAAUUAUAAUAUAAAAAAUUAAAGGAACCAAUAUCGAAAAGCUUAAAAUUUUUUGGGCUCGUAAUGUAAAUUUCUCUUGAUAUUAAUGUUCAGUAGAGUAGAACAAUAUAUAUGUCCAUCCAGUUAUUUCAAAUCAGAUCUAGAUGAACUGAGGAAACAUCACCACUACCGAUCACUCGCAUAAGAGCAAUAAAACAAAGUAUAGAUGAACUGGUAGUGAAACAAACUUGCUAAGAAGCGCCCUUAUUUCACUCUCUGAAUCUUACAUAUAUGUCUUCAUUGCAGUGCUAGCUAGCAUGUUAAUAAUGUCUUUAUGGGAUGAAAACUCUAGAAACCAAUGGCCCAUACUUGUCUUGUGACUGGUACGUAGUAAUUGAAUUAUUGUGUUUAUUUUUUUAACGGAAGUUGGCCUCGUCAUGCGAGGUUUAUUGAAAAAUAAAAGAGCAAAGAAUUAGUUAAAACCUAAAUUAAAGAAAUUAAAUCCCUUUUUACCGAAGGCUCUAAGUAGGCUUUCCUGCCUACAAGCCUUUUAUUUGACAAUCAUACUAAUUUUUGUUUAACAGAAUUAAUGAUGCCCAAGAAAUGUAGACACAAAAAUCACUUAAACAAACUGCUUGAAAAGUCAAAUAAUAAAAAAUGAAAGCACAUGACUGAAUAGAUAUAUCUAAAGUGAAUAGGAUCAGUAAAUAAUAAGUAAAAAUUACAAAAUUCAGAUGUAAAUUUACCCAAAUCUCAAAUCAAAGAUGAAGUAUCACUAUUGAUCUCUAGAAUGAGAGCAAUUUGUUAGUAUGAACUUAUGAGCUAGUUGUAAAACUCACUUGUUGAAGGCCGCCUGCCUUUACUCGCUCACUUAAUCUUAUCUUCUUUGCAAUGCUAGCUUUUUAAUUUCCCUAUGGAAUGAAAAUUUCAGCAACCAAUGGCCAAUACUUAUAUGACCAGCAGCGUAGCUGCAUGUACGUUUCACGUUGUAAUCAAUUGACUUAUUAGCUGUACGUACGGCACCUACAUAAUUAAAGAAAUUUCUUGACUUUACUGUAGCUCGUCGCGUAACUGUUUGAAGUACGAAAGUGAAACUUUAUCAUUGUUAAAACAUAAGGAGCUGAUAAAAUGUUGAGAAAAUAGUCACAAGUUGCUGUCGGUUUACUGUAUUUGUAAUUUUUUUUUUUUUUAUUACAUGAGACUAUUGCUCAAAUUACAACUCAUAUUACAUGAGAAUAUAACUGAUAUUUACAAAUCAGACUAUAACUGAGACUAACAUACAUCAAUACUAAUGGAGCGCUGCCCAGAUUUUAACAUUCUCAAAUAUUCAAGGGAUGUCUACUCCUUACACUUGGGUAAAGAAGUAGACUGUCUUCACUCAAAUUUACUUGAGGAAGGAAGACCCCCACAAUGCAUUGUGGGGGUUCGAACUUACUGCAUUUGUAAUUAAGUGAAUAAACUGAAGUAAACUGACACGAGUCAAUGUCCUAUUUUUUCUGUCAACGCGUUUGUCUGAAUAUCAGUACUUUUUUUUUUUCUAAUUCUUUGUCAUGUGCGUGACUCACAUUGUAAUUCGAUUGUGGUUUGUUAUAUUUGUACAUCUCCAGAUAUUUGUUUGAGAUUUUUUUUUCUUUUUGCCAUAUUUUGUUUAGUACUAAUUGUAGUCUAUAAUUAUUUCCGAUUUAAAAGCUGUUGAGACUAACUCAGAUUAAAUCAAUUAUACUCCAACUCAAAUUUAUGAUAUUAUACUAAAAUAUACCUUCCUCUAUAAUAUUCACAUUUGUGAGUGAAAUUAUCUACUUCUAUCCAAAUAAGAGAGGAAUAAGAGUCCUAACUUACAGUUGAUAUCGCUCUAACAUAUGCCCUCAAGUUGUUGCAUUUAAAUUAAUUUUUUAUUUGUAUUUUUAUUAAUAAAUGAAAAUUCAUCUAUAGCUUAAAUAAUGUUUUAAUUAAUUUUGAGUAUUGGUUUUGCUAUUUGUGUACCAAUGACAAAGAGACACAGAAAGCCUCCUUCAAAACAAAAAAAGAAAAAAGAAAAAACAAUAGACUUGAAUUUUAUUUGUUGACAAUUAGUUCAACCCAAAUGCUUCAUUUUGAUUAAUAAUAUAUUAACUUCUAAUAUUUUGUUUGGUCAAAACGAGCCAACACAUAAAAAUAUAUUUGGCAGAUUUACCUGUUUUGGAGUUUUAUCCUCGUUAGAGGACUGCUCAUGGACUUUGAGAUUUAUCAAGAAAGGCUCAAUUAUUGAUUUAAUGGGAUCGUCAGUAUUCAAUCUUGGGAUUUUCAUUAGUCCGAUAUCAAACACAACAGUCUCCCUCAGACUUCUAGGGAUCGAGGAAAGGGUGGGUAAAAUGUGUGGCAGCUAUAUAUGGUGUACUGUAGCCAGGGGUGGAUCUAGGAUUUAAUAUUACCCCAGGCUAAAUUUUAAAAUUUAUAUUUUGAAGCAAACAUAAAAAUUUAUAAAUAGAAAUAAGUAUAUUAAAUAAGGAGGAAUACCAAGAACUUUAUCUCUCUAAAUAUGUACUAUAAACAAAAAUAAUUAUAAAAAAAGAGUAGAAAACAAAAGACAACUCAAAUAUGAAAUUAUUUUUUAAUUAUAGAAUUUGACAUUGCAACCUAUAAUAACUUGUAAUUAUAUAAGGAUUAAAAAAUCAAUUAAGAAUUUUAAAUUAAAAUAGAUCAAUACAUGUAAUUAUAAUUAAUUAAAAAUUGUAAGUAAAACUUUUAUGCUUGAAGUGAAGUACUAAAUUACCCGACUUAAUAAAUUAAAUAUUAAAAUUUAUUCAUCCUUUCAAAUUGUAAAAGUAUUUUUAAUCAAAAGUUUCAAUAAUAUACUAAACUCAAUUCAGCAAAAAGAUAUUUGGGUGCAGUUAUUUCUUUGUCAGAUGCUCUAUCUCUCUUUAAAGAACUAGAAGUUGAUAAUUCUUCUAUUAAAAGCUCUUAAAAUACUCAAAUUUUAUUUUCUAACUUGUCCUCUUAGUUAAUAUAACUAAUAAAUAAAAUCUGAAAAUUCACAUUAAAAUUUUAUGAAAAUAUUGAUAAUUGUUACUAUAUGUUAUUUCUGUAAGUACUUUUAAGUCUAGUGAUGAUGUUAUAUUACACUGACAUAUAUAUUUUUUAAUUAGAAGUUUUUUAAAAUAAAUUAAAGCAGUAAUAAAAUUUUAACACCCUAAUGUUUUCAAUCUAUUCAAUAAAUAUAUAAUUUAAUCAUUUUAUAAAAUAAGUCAAUAAUUUCAAUUGAAAAUAAUAUAAUUGACUUAGGGACACAUUUAUAAAUAAAAUAAAAACUCUAUUAUUAUAUAAAAUUAAUGAAAACAUAUGGGUAAUUCAGUUAGGGACAUAUUUAAAUGUAAAAUGAAAACUCUAUUGUUAUACUAAAUUGAUGAAAAUGUAAGGGUAGUUGAGUUAGGGACAUAUAUGAAAAUAAAAUGAAAACUCUAUUAUUUUACUAAAUUAUUAAAAAAGUAAGGGUGUAAAUGAUUUUUUCUAAACUAGACCGGGUUACAGCCCGGUCUAGCCCACGUGUAGGUCUGCCACUGACUGUAGCAAUUUUUUUUAAUUUAAAUUUUUAAAUAUUUAUUUUUAUUUAGGUCUCUCGUAAGAUUCUUUUAAAUAAAAAUAAGUUUAUCUUAUUUCAAAUAACUUUUUUUUUACAAAAGUAAUAUUAAUUAUAACACCAUCAUUUCUUCAUAAAUUAUGAGAUAAAAAAUAAUAUGAUAUUAAAUACGAGACUCAAAAAAACUCUACAAAUAAGAUUCUUUAAAUGAGAUAAAUUUUCUCUCUCUUCAACAUUAAAGAGAGAAAAAUAUUAUCUCAUUCGAAUAAGGGAAAAGGACAAACACACUCUCGAUAUUUAGGUAAAGGGACAAAAAUCCCUCUAAUUUCUCAAAAAAUAUUUACACCCCAAUUUAUUAUAAUUUUACUAUUAUACCCUUCUAGCAUAUAAAAAAAUUGUUAGAUUAUCCAAUUUGUCUAUAAAUUAUUAAUAAAAUUAUAAAUAUAUCCUCAUUUCCUCAUUUCUCUAUUUAAAUUUUUAUUAAUAACUAAUUUUCAAAAAAGAUGUCUACGCACUUAAAAAAUUGUAAAUAAAUUAUAAUUUUAAAAAUAAAAUUGGUUAUUAAUACCAUAAUAAAUAAUAUAGAAAAUUGGUUAUAAAUGUACAAGUUUAAAUGAUUGACAUGUGGAGAAUUGUUAAAUAUACAAGUUUAAAGUUUAAAUAAAAUUGGUUAUUAAUAACUAAUUUUAUUUUUAAAAUUAUAAUUUAUUUACGAUUUUUUUAGGUGUAUAGAUGUCUUUUUUAAAAGUUGGUUAUUGAUAAAAAUUUUAAUAGAGGAAUUGGGCAAUGAGGGUAUAUUUAUAAUUUUUUUUAAUAAUAUCCAAUUUGUCUAUUUAUAAUUUUAUUAACAAUAUAUAGAUAAAUUGGAUAAUCUAAUAAUUUUUUUAUAUGUUAGAAGGGUAUAAUGGUAAAAUUAUAUAAAUUGGGGUGUAAAUAUUUUUUUUAAAACAUUAGGAGAGUUUUUGUCCAUUUGCCUAAACGUUGGGGGUGUGUUUGUCCUUUUUCCUUCGAACAAUCUCAUUGGGAGAGUUUUUUAAAAUUUUUUUUUGUUAAUGUGGCACUUUAAAUAUGUAGUAAAAUCUCUUUUAAAAAACUUUCAAUAAUGCUCUGAAAUAAUUAUUGAGAUUAAAAUUGUUAGUCAAUGUCGGUCUUUACUCUUCAGUUGUAAAACAUGAAAAUGUUGAGGAACACUCCAGUUGGCGGCCACUUAAGAUUCGCAUGAGAAUGAUUGUGAUCCAUACUACUAUUUCAGCUGAUUUCUAAUUUUCUAAAUUUAUGCUUUUGAUGUAAUUUAAAUUUUUUUUAGGGAUUAGGACCUUUAUUCCCCUCUUGUUUAGAUGUUAUUUUCUAAUUUUUAAUUAAUUUCUAAUUUUUUUUAUUUAAGUUUUUGACUUUAUCGAAAUUAAAAAAGAAUGUAAUGGUAAUGUUAGGGAUGACAAAAAUCCCCACGAGGAUGGGUACCCUCGGGGAUUUUCCCCAUUCGGGGAGGGUAUGAGGAUAAUUUCAUACUCAAUUUCUCAUUCGGGGAAGGGACGGAGAAAAUUUUUUACCCAAUUUCUUAUUCAGGGAGGGGACGGGGAUCAGGUGGAAUCCCCAUUCCCUGCCCAUUUUUCUGUUUUAAUUUUUAAUUUAAUUUUUAUUUUUUAAAAUUACUAGUAAAUAAAUAAUAAAAUUUGAAUUAUAAAAUUAUAAAUAUUGGUAAAAAUAAUAAAUAUCAAAAUAUUUAUAUUAUUAAAAUUUUAGGCCUAAUUAACUAAUUAAAGUCCUAAAUUUUUAUUUAGGACAUUAAAAAAACCCGGUAAAUUCUAUUAGCCCAAAAAAAUUAUUUUUAUUUUAAUAUUCAUUAAAUGUUUUAAACUUAAAUCUAUUUUUUAUUUAUUUUUAGACGUUAUAAUUGCCCACAACGAAUCACAAUUUUAAUAUCUAGUUUAAUCUAAUCUAAUCUAAUCUAAUCUAAUCUAAUCUAAUAUAAUCUAAUCUAAUAUUUACUCUUGAUUUGCUCCGACUUAACUAUUGUGCUGUAAAGGGAAUAGUCCACAUUUAUAAAGUGCCCACGCCACCAUUGAAAAGGUUAAUUUUGAAUCUAAAUUCGAUUUUAUUUGUAACAAUUUUGUAUUUGACUAUUAAUUUAUUCACGAUAGUUUGUAAAAGAAGUUUGUAUCCCUUACAUGUUGCAUUACUUAUUAAUUUAAUGUAUGUGACUUUUGUAAUGGAUAUUAAUGUAAGAUAUAUUUCAAACUUUACUUUUAUUUGAAUUUUUUAUUUUAAUAUGAUUAACUCAAAAUCGAAAACAAAAAAUAUAUUAGUUAUUCGGGGAUCGAGGAUCCUUGGGGAUCCCCUGUUAUUAUUCGGGGAGGAGAUGUUGAUUCUCUCAAGUAAUUCUGAUGGGGACGGGGACAUACGCAAAAUAUUAUAGAUGGGUAUGGGGAGAUUGGUCCCCUCCCCUCCCCUCCCCAUUGCCAUCCCUAGUAAUGUAGCCGAGUUGGCUCGCACAUAUCCCAAAAUUAGAACUAAACCCUUAUAAUAUUAAUUAAUAGAUAAUAAAUCAUUUCCGUGCUUUACUUUCUGCUUCUCUAGCAGAUCAAUUAAAGAAAACAGAAUAGGAUAUAUAAUUCAAUAGUGAAAAAGGAAUUUAACAUCUAUAAUAUAAUAUCAAAUUAUAGUUUAUAACCCUAAUAUUUAAUUACACCCCGGUAUGAUUAUAUCAUCGAUCGUUUCCAGUAUUCAUUUUUUCAGUAAAGCUCCAGUAUUCAUUGAUUUAAAAUCAAACAUAGUUUUUUUUUCUUUUUUUUUUCUGGAUGCCUUGUUAUGUUAAAAAGCUUUUGGUCCCAAAUGUCAGAUUUAAAACUAAUAACAAACAAGAAGAAAGAAACAUAGUUAAAUAAAUAUUAGAAAAUAAAAAAGACUGAGAUUUAUAGAUAAAUAUGUAAUAAAAUAAAUUAAGAAAACCUAUUCUCCAUUCCUUUUGGAGACUAGCUAGUAGACUAAUAAUCAAUAUAUGAUAACUAUUCGUAAUUAGUUAUGUAAAUAUUUUGUAUAAAGAGUCUCAUUUCAUUGUUAAAAAUGGGAAAAAAUAAUAAUAAUAAGAGGUCACUUUUGGCAACAACAAUGAGUGUGCUUAGAAAUUAGAAGUAAUCCUUGUAUAUUUUAACGAGUGCAUCCAAUAGUGCGGUUUUACAGGGAUUUUGGAUUGGGUGUCAGUAGUCCUACUCAUUAUAAAAUCCAACCUUUAGAUGUUCAAAAUGAAGAAUAAUAGUGCAAUUACUUGCGUUAUCUGAGAAGUAACAUCGAAAUCAAUAAGCUCCCCUGUUGUUGUUGGAACUCUUCCAAAGCCCUGAUAUUCCUCAUUACCUUCCCCACAAUUGAUGAUUGAUGCAUGCUCUCUAACAAAGUGGGAUCGUUGAUGAGCGAACUGAAUGCUCUGCCUACGCACUUGAGUCGCUAAAGGGACUUUGACGGGCAGCCGCAGUAAUAUGUUCAAAGCAAACUCUUCUUGAAAUUAAUUGAACUCCAAGCUAUUAAUAAAACUUAAUACAAGAACUACCCUGAGCUGAUGUUGCAUGUAGGCCAAUCGUUUUGUCUAAUCAUUAAACUUUUCAAAUUUCAACAAAAAUAUAUUACAUAAAAUGGAAAAGGAUGUUUAUAAAGCGUAAAUGUAAUUAAACAUCUAGAAAAGGGAGUUGAUGAGGAGCAAUACGUGAAAGUCACAGUGACAUGAUCAUAUCAGUGAUAUAACAGAGAUGAUACUUAAUAAGCAAGAUAUGAGGCCAUUAUGGUGAUGCCUACUGGAAAUAAGCUAGAACUGAAAACACAGUUUGUGUCAGGGUAAGUAUAAGCAGAAAAAGUGCAGCGAAAACGGAAAUGAUUGUCCAUGGAGUGUUGAAAUAGUUAUGCCUGAGGUUGGCAAUCCAUCUGUUCCAAUGCCUGUCACAGUAGUCAUUCACAUUGUGGAAUAUGUCUCCGUAAAAGUUGAAAAGGGGCAGCGAGACAGAAUCUCCAAGCCUAUUGAACAUGUUGGCAACCACUUCAUCGUCACCUAAACAA